rnacentral:rRNA from 1 species
UGCCAGACUCCUACGGGAGGCAGCAGUGGGGAAUAUUGCACAAUGGGGGAAACCCUGAUGCAGCAACGCCGCGUGAGUGAAGAAGUAUUUCGGUAUGUAAAGCCCUAUCAGCAGGGAAGAAAAUGACGGUACCUGAGUAAGAAGCCCCGGCUAACUACGUGCCAGCAGCCGCGGUAAUACGUAGGGGGCAAGCGUUAUCCGGAUUUACUGGGUGUAAAGGGAGCGUAGACGGCGAUACAAGUCUGAAGUGAAAGCCCGGGGCUCAACCCCGGGACUGCUUUGGAAACUGUGUUGCUGGAGUGCUGGAGAGGCAAGCGGAAUUCCUAGUGUAGCGGUGAAAUGCGUAGAUAUUAGGAAGAACACCAGUGGCGAAGGCGGCUUGCUGGACAGUAACUGACGUUGAGGCUCGAAAGCGUGGGGAGCAAACAGGAUUAGAUACCCGCGUAA